rnacentral:lncRNA from 1 species
CGCCCACCGCCUCAGCAACCAACCUCCAGGGAGGGGAAAGGGGGCAGAAGUUUGAGUUAAUAACUAAUAGCUAAAGAUGUAAACAAUAAGCCUCCAUAAAACCCCAAAAGGACUGGACUGGUUUCUGAGAGCUUCCAGGUUGUUGAGCACGUGGAGGUUCUGGGAGGGUCCACACCCAGAGAAGGCAUGGAAGCUGACCCCUUCCCCAUACCUUGCUCUUUGCAUCUCUUCCAUUUGGCUGUUCCCGAGUUGUAUACUUUGUAAUAAGUGGGAUUUCCACCCAACAACAAUUCAGCCACACUGCUUCACACAUCUAGAAUCCAUCCAAAAUUGUAAAGGCUUUGUGGCACUACAGUGAAACAGGCAAGAACAUCUUCCAAACAUCCAGCACAAGAGCACACAGGAGGCCGGCAUAAUCACGAAUUGCAGCUGUCUGAAGGGCAGUCACAUAAAAGAGGAGAAGCUUCACCUUUGCUUCACAAGGCACAUCUUGAACCAGGGAUGGAAAUUACAGAGAGGCCAAAACCAGCUCGGUGUGAGCAGGACUGGUAACAGACUGGCCAAGCAACAGAAGGGGCUGCCCUGUGAAGAAGCAAGCUCUCUGUCAAUGGGAGGUGCAAGCUGAGCCUGCACUACCUUUUGUCACGGUUGCUAUGGAAAAGAUUAAGAGCCCGGAUAGCCCUUCCUCCUCUGGGGGCCUGGGCAUCAGCAAGUCGGAUGGCAGUGGAAGGUGGAGAAAUGGAAUCCUGCUGGGGGCUCAGGAGGCCUGCCCCCUGAUGCUGCCGUGCACUGCAGAUGUCCUUGAUGAAGAGAAUGAAUGGAAGCUGUCUUUCUCAAUGGCAAAAGGGCAUACUGCUGUUAUUGUCAGUGAGGGGUCAGUAGUUUAAAUGAUGAAACUCUGGGGAUCAGCGUAAAGUAAACCAACAUACUGCAUGUAAAUUCCUCAUUCUUACUGCUGUGAGAACAAUUGUUAGGAGCCAAAAACUUCAGAGCUUUCAAAGAACUGUAAUGAGAUAGCACAAUGCAGGCAAAAAGCCAGUGUUAACGGAGCAAGAAACUUCCCAGUUCUGACAUUCACAGCAUGACCUAGAGCAUGCGGAUUCCCCUCUCUGAGUCACUGGUUUCUCACCUGCAAAAGAAAGCGGGGACAGGGAAGGAGGAAGAAGCUUCGAGAGGCUGGAACAGUUGAGGGAGCGCUGACACGGUAAAGGCCACUUUGCUCAUCAUCACCAGGCGUGCUGCCGAAAAUUUCCACUCUGUUUACUCCCAAGACCUUACUCCUACUAUGUGGAGACACAUUUGAAUAAAAAAUUGGCCUCUUUUCAAAGUCAAAA